rnacentral:rRNA from 1 species
GACAGAGGUCCCGAGCGUUAGGCGGAAUCACUGGGCUUAAAGCGUGUGUAGGCGGAUUUGUAAGUACCUUGUGAAAUCCCACGGCUCAACCGUGGAACUGCUUGGUAUACUGCUUAUCUUGAGCCACCUAGGGGCAACCGGAACAAGCGGUGGAGCGGUGAAAUGCGUAGAUAUCGCUAGGAACUCCGGUGGCGAAGGCGAGGUGCUGGACCCUUUCUGACGCUGAGGCGCGAAAGCCAGGGGAGCAAACGGG